UUGAAAAGAACUUUGAAGAGAGAGUUCAAGAGUACGUGAAACCGUUCAGGGGUAAACCUAAGAAACCCAAAAGAUCGAACGGGGAGAUUCAUCGUCAGCGGCGCUGGCUUCGCGUCGGUGGGCGAUGUCCCGCGGAGUCCUCGCGGCUCGCGCGCGGGCACGCUACCGUGCGCCGAUGUCCGGCUGUCGUCGUCGUGCACUUCUCCCCAAGUAGAACGUCGCGACCCGCUGGGUGUCGGUCUACGGCCCGGGUGCGGUGACUGUCGCGUCGCCGGUAAAACGGCACGCGACAAACCCUCGGUAGCCCGGCCGGCUGCUCGGCGGUACGCGCAAGGUAUCAGGUCGCACCUACGGUGCGUCGAGGACGUCGCAAGCGCGCGCCACGGUACUCGGAGGUCACGGACUUUGCGCCGUCCCCGGUCCUGGCCCGCUGCUGGUUAAAGUACGUAUAACCUUCGACAGGCCUGCGAACGUUCCUCUUCUAUCACGGGAGGGACGGAUACCGGUCGGCGACGCUACUGCUUUGGGUACUCUUAGGACCCGUCUUGAAACACGGACCAAGGAGUCUAACAUGUACGCGAGUCAUUGGGACUUGUCGCGAGACCUAAAGGCGUAAUGAAAGUGAAGGUCGGCCCUGGCCGUCGACCGAGGGAGGAUGGGCCGCGUCGCGAUGCGGCCUCGCACUCCCGGGGCGUCUCGUUCUCAUAGCGAGAAGAGGCGCACCCAGAGCGUACACGUUGGGACCCGAAAGAUGGUGAACUAUGCCUGGUCAGGACGAAGUCAGGGGAAACCCUGAUGGAGGUCCGUAGCGAUUCUGACGUGCAAAUCGAUCGUCGGAACUGGGUAUAGGGGCGAAAGACUAAUCGAACCAUCUAGUAGCUGGUUCCCUCCGAAGUUUCCCUCAGGAUAGCUGGCACUCAUGGACCGCACGCGAGUCUCAUCUGGUAAAGCGAAUGAUUAGAGGCCUUGGGGCCGAAACGACCUCAACCUAUUCUCAAACUUUAAAUGGGUGAGAUCUCUGGCUUUCUUGAAUUAUGAAGCCACGAGCAUCUCUCCGGAUCAGAGUGCCAAGUGGGCCAUUUUUGGUAAGCAGAACUGGCGCUGUGGGAUGAACCAAACGCAGAGUUAAGGCGCCCAACUCGACGCUCAUGGGACACCAUGAAAGGCGUUGGUUGCUUAAGACAGCAGGACGGUGGCCAUGGAAGUCGGAAUCCGCUAAGGAGUGUGUAACAACUCACCUGCCGAAGCAACUAGCCCUGAAAAUGGAUGGCGCUGAAGCGUCGAGCCUAUACUCUGCCGUCAGCGGCAAGUGGGGCGGCGACGGGAGCGUUGCGCGCGUCGGGCCGCGUUUGCGGCUCUCUCGCGAGGCAUACGUCUCCCUCGAGUCGUCACGAAGCCCUGACGAGUAGGAGGGUCGCGACGGUGAGCGCAGAAGGGUCU
rnacentral:rRNA from 1 species